rnacentral:rRNA from 1 species
AACGAACGCUGGCGGCAUGCCUAACACAUGCCAGUCGAACGAGACCUUCGGGUCUAGUGGCGCACGGGUGCGUAACGCGUGGGAAUCUGCCCUUGGGUUCGGGAUAACAGUUGGAAACGACUGCUAAUACCGGAUGAUGACUUCGGUCCAAAGAUUUAUCGCCCAGGGAUGAGCCCGCGUCGGAUUAGCUAGUUGGUGAGGUAAGAGCUCACCAAGGCGACGAUCCGUAGCUGGUCUGAGAGGAUGAUCAGCCACACUGGGACUGAGACACGGCCCAGACUCCUACGGGAGGCAGCAGUGGGGAAUAUUGGACAAUGGGCGAAAGCCUGAUCCAGCAAUGCCGCGUGAGUGAUGAAGGCCUUAGGGUUGUAAAGCUCUUUUACCCGGGAUGAUAAUGACAGUACCGGGAGAAUAAGCCCCGGCUAACUCCGUG